rnacentral:rRNA from 1 species
AUUGAACGCUGGCGGCAUGCCUUACACAUGCAAGUCGGACGGCAGCGCGGGAGCAAUCCUGGCGGCGAGUGGCGAACGGGUGAGUAAUACAUCGGAACAUGUCCAGUAGUGGGGGAUAGCCCGGCGAAAGCCGGAUUAAUACCGCAUACGAUCUAUGGAUGAAAGCGGGGGAUCGCAAGACCUCGCGCUAUUGGGGUGGCCGAUGGCGGAUUAGCUAGUUGGUGGGGUAAAGGCCUACCAAGGCGACGAUCCGUAGCUGGUCUGAGAGGACGACCAGCCACACUGGGACUGAGACACGGCCCAG